rnacentral:rRNA from 1 species
AGUGAACGCUGGCGGUAGGCCUAACACAUGCAAGUCGAACGGCAGCACAGUAAGAGCUUGCCCUUACGGGUGGCGAGUGGCGGACGGGUGAGGAAUACAUCGGAAUCUACUUUUUCGUGGGGGAUAACGUAGGGAAACUUACGCUAAUACCGCAUACGACCUACGGGUGAAAGCAGGGGAUCUUCGGACCUUGCGCGAUUGAAUGAGCCGAUGUCGGAUUAGCUAGUUGGCGGGGUAAAGGCCCACCAAGGCGACGAUCCGUAGCUGGUCUGAGAGGAUGAUCGGCCACACUGGAACUGAGACACGGACCAGACUCCUACGGGAGGCAGCAGUGGGGAAUAUUGGACAAUGGGCGCAAGCCUGAUCCAGCCAUACCGCGUGGGUGAAGAAGGCCUUCGGGUUGUAAAGCCCUUUUGUUGGGAAAGAAAAGCAGCAGGUUAAUACCCCGCUGUUCUGACGGUACCCAAAGAAUAAGCACCGGCUAACUUCGUG